rnacentral:rRNA from 1 species
UACGGAGGGUGCAAGCGUUAUCCGGAUUCACUGGGUUUAAAGGGAGCGUAGGCGGGCUUGUAAGUCAGUGGUGAAAUCUCCGGGCUUAACUCGGAAACUGCCAUUGAUACUAUAAGUCUUGAAUUAUCUGGAGGUAAGCGGAAUAUGUCAUGUAGCGGUGAAAUGCUUAGAUAUGACAUAGAACACCCAUUGCGAAGGCAGCUUACUACGGGUAUAUUGACGCUGAGGCUCGAAAGCGUGGGGAGCAAACAGG